rnacentral:rRNA from 1 species
CCUGUUUAACAAAAACAUCGUCUUUUGAAACACCCACAUAAAAGAUAAUGCCUGCCCAGUGAAAAUUUUAAACGGCCGCGUUAGCGUGAGCGUGCUAAGGUAGCGUAAUAAAUAGCCUUUUAAUUGGAGGCCAGUGAAUGGCAAGACUAGGAAUACCUGUACCCUUUAUGGAAAAAAAACUUUUCAUCUGAGUGAAAAGACUCAGAUAACAAAGGAAGACGAAAAGACCCCGCGGAACUUUACCUUUUCCAGCCUUAGCUGCCCACAAACACAAAAGACAAAAGGUUUGAUUGGGGCAAUCUCGGAACAAACCAAGCUUCCGAUCUCCCUUAAAUAAACAUCAAUAACACGAUAAGGACAAAAAAGAAGUUA